GACGAACGCUGGCGGCGUGCUUAACACAUGCAAGUCGAACGGAAAGGCGCUGCUUUUGUGGGGCGCUCGAGUGGCGAACGGGUGAGUAACACGCGAGUAUACUGCCCCUGACUUUGUGAUAUCACCUGGAGACUGGGGCGCUUACCCCAUAUAAUCUCCUGCUGCACGGGGUGGGUUGGUAAGUGUCGGCGGUUGGGGAUGGACUCGAGGCUUAUCCGCUUGUUGGUCUGGUAGUUGCUUACCAAGGCUUUGACGGGUAGCCGGCCUGAGAGGGUGACCGGCCACAUUGGGACUGAGGGACGGACCAGACGCCUACGGGAGGCAGCAGUGGGGAAUAUUGCACAGUGGGGGGAAGCCUGAUGCAGCAACGCCGCGUGCGGGAUGACGGCCUUCGGGUUGUAAACCGCUUUCGCCUGUGCCGAAGCGUGAGUGACGGUAAUGGGUAAAGAAGCACCGGCUAACUACGUG
rnacentral:rRNA from 1 species